rnacentral:rRNA from 1 species
UGAGUAGGCGGUUACAUAUGUCAGAUGUAAAAGGCACAGGCUUAACUUGUGUUAGCAUUUGAAACUGUGUGACUUGAGUGCAGGAGAGGUAAGUGGAAUUCCUAGUGUAGCGGUGAAAUGCGUAGAUAUUAGGAGGAACACCAGUGGCGAAGGCGACUUACUGGACUGUAACUGACGCUGAGUCACGAAAGCGUGGGUAGCAAACAG